GUUGAACGCUGGCGGCAUGCCUUACACAUGCAAGUCGAACGGCAGCACGGGGGCUUUCACCUGCUGGCGAGUGGCGAACGCGGGAGUAUUACAUGGGGACAAGUCCUCUAUUGGGGUAUAGUACCGCGGAGACCCCGUUAAUACUGCAUACGAAUUACUGGUAACACCUGGGUCACUUGUGGCCUCGCGCUUUGCGGUCGGCUGACGGCUGAUUAGCGAGUUGGUGGGGUAACGGCCUACCAAGGCCACGAUCAGUAGCUGGUCUGAGAGGGCGACCAGCCACACUGGGACUGAGACACGGCCCAGACUCCUACGGGAGGCAGCAGUGGGGAAUUUUGGACAAUGGGCGAAAGCCUGAUCCAGCAAUGCCGCGUGUGUGAAGAAGGCCUUCGGGUUGUAAAGCACUGUUGUCAGGAAAGAACUAAUUGGCCAUAAUCCGGUCAGGGGAUGACGGUACCGGAAGAAUAAGCCACGGCUAACUACGUG
rnacentral:rRNA from 1 species